CCCACUCUUGUUAAUCACCAUAUCUAAGUAAAGUGCCUUUCCUUCUAAUCUUGGUACCGUCGUUUAGCUCAUCAUUCUCCUUCCAUCUUGCUUUUUGGGCCUACCAAUAGGAGCCCUUACGGGAGGGGAAGCAAUAGUUUCAUACUGUGUUUGGAGUCAUGUAUAUUUCCUAGAAUUUCGGUCACUCACAUAGGCCUCAACAUCCUUGUGAACAUUAUGGCUGUCGCAGCAUGGAAGCAUGGGAUGCUAGAGAUAUCCCUCUUUUUUUCCCAUCCACAAACACUUUCUCCCAAGUCCGCCAU
rnacentral:lncRNA from 1 species